rnacentral:rRNA from 1 species
GUGCCAGCAGCCGCGGUAAUACGGAGACUACAAGCGUUACUCGGAUUCACUGGGCGUAAAGGGUGCGUAGGCGGCCGGGUAUGUCGGGUGUGAAAUCUCGAGGCUUAACCUCGAAACUGCGCUCGAAACUGCCCGGCUAGAGACUCGGAGAGGGUAGCGGAAUUCUCGGUGUAGCGGUGAAAUGCGUAGAUAUCGAGAGGAACACCAAAGGCGAAGGCAGCUACCUGGACGAGUUCUGACGCUGAGGUACGAAAGCAUGGGGAGCGAAAGGGAUUAGAUACCCCUGUAGUCCAUGCCGUAAACUUUGUACACUAGGUUUUGGGAGAUUCGACCCUUUCAGAGCACAAGCUAACGCGUUAAGUGUGCCGCCUGAGGACUACGGCCGCAAGGCUAAAACUCAAAUAAAUUGACGG